rnacentral:lncRNA from 1 species
CAUAUUUCUGUUGCCUAGAAUUACUUUUGCUAUUCUAGGUCUCUUCUGGUUCCAAAUAAAGUUUUGGAUUGUUUUCUCUAGUUCUGUAAAGUAUAUUGUUGAAAUUUCAAUUGGCAUUGCAUUAAAUCUACAUAGCAGUUUUGGAAGUAUGGCCAUUUUCACUAUAUUGGUUCUUCCUACCCAGGAGCAAGGGAUGUCUUUCCAUUUUCUUAUAUCUUCUUUGAUAUCUUUUUUUCAGUGUGCUGUAGUUUUCAGUGUAGAAGUCUUUUGCUUCCUUUGUUAGAUUAAUUCCUAGAUAUUUCAUUUUUUUGGAUGCUAUGUUGCAAGGGAUGUUUUUCCCUAAUUUCUCUCUCAGUGAGUCUGUUAUUUGUGUACAAGAAGGCUAUUGUUUUUUGUGUUGAUCUUGUAUCCAGCUACUCUACUGAGUCUGUCAAUUAAGUGUAGAAGUCUUUUGGUAGAGUUUUUUGAGUCUUCCAUGUAGAGUAUCAUAUGGUCAGCAAAUAAUGACCAUUUAACUUCUUCCUUUCCUAUCUUUACUCCUUUUAUUUCUUUCUCCUGUCUAAUAGUUGUGGCUAAUGUUUCUGAACUAUAUUGAAUAGGAGUGGUGAUAGUGGACAUCCUUGACUUGUUCCUGAUUUUAGCGUGAAGGUUUCCAGUUUUUUACCAUUUAGUAUGAUAUUGGCUGUUGUUUUUUCAUAUAUAACCUCAAUCAGGUUGAGAUAAAGACCUUCUAUUCCAAUUUUCUGUAGGGUUUUUAUCAUGAAUGGGUGUUGGAUUUUGUUGAAUGCUUUUUCUGCAUCUCAGAUUCUAUUUAGAAGGUGAGAUAUUGAUAAACACACACAGAGACAAUAUGCUAAUGUUUCUCAUACAUUGUUGAGCAUCUGAAUCACCUGGGAUUGACUACUAGGGUCCCACCACCAGCGAUUCUGAUCCAGGUGCCACUAAUGCUACUAGUCCUUGGACCGCCCUUGAGUAGCCCUUACUAUGGGGAGGCUCUCUAGCUAUUCCUGUACGGAUUCUCAACCUGUCUCCCCAAUGUAAAGAGCAGCUUGUCAGGCAAUAAGUGUAGAAUAAUACAUAGAUGGGCAGAGAAAAGAGAGAGGAUUAGAAGCAGAGAUAUAAUAGUUAAGUAGUACAUAGUAAGUAUAACUAUUUGAAGGACUUUAAUAUUGUUUUAAAAUUCUGUCUUUAAAAUUAAUAAUUUUAAAAAUAUGUUAUGAUUAUUACAUUCAGUAUAAUAAUUAAAAGAGCACAAAUUAUGUAUGUUACAAACUAAACUAUCCUUCCAUUCUAGUCUUACACUGCCACUUUGCAAAAUAAAUCACACUUAACCAUCUUGUUAGACUAUGUACAUGAAAUAUUUGAAAAAAGUUGAGAUUUUUCCUCUAAAUAAUACAGGCCAAGUUACACUUCCAUCUACUAUUACAUAAAUGAUUAUUUCUCUGUAUCUCAAUAGUAUCAGAUGUUAUCCAAAUUUUUGCCUGCCAGUCUGAUUUGUGAAAAAUGGUGUCUAAUUUAUAUUUUAGCUUGUGUUGCCUGUAAUUGAGAGUAGAACAACUUUGAGUAGCAAGACUGUAGAUAAGCUAAUUUGGGGAAGGUGGAUAGAUAACCAUUUUAGUCUUGACUUUGAGCUUUCUUUCUUUUUUGGUACGGGGAUUGAACUCGGGUCCUUGCUCUUGCGCAGCAGGCAGCGAAACCACUGAGCUAAAUCCCUGGCCCAAUUUGGGCUUUCUUUUAAGGAAAAAUAUCUGUUUUCCUUCCUCACUUGAUAUUCAGAUGGUAGGUCUUUUAUGUUGAAUCUUGCUUCAAAAGUGGUUCACCUCUUUUUGAAUGAAAAGAAAGAACAAGGAUACUUCCAUUGCAGCCCACCCUCGGUUUUCACCUGGAAAUUCAUUUUUAUAAGCCAUUCCUAUGGGAAAUAAAGGAUGCAUAUAGGUUUGUUCAUACAAAAAAUGCUACAGCUCCCAAUCCAAGAUUUCCUUAUGGGAAAUGACAACAUCUAGUGAAACAAUGAGUAUAGGAAAUUAAAGAAAACUUGAACUAUGAUGGAUAUACUAAAGCUGAAUUAUUUGAGACCAAAUUUUCUUUAGCUUGUUUACUGCUGUUCACUUGAAAGGCACACACACACACACACACACACACACACACACACACACGACUGCUUUUUGAAAUCAAAUACAUUUCCUGCCUUCGUCUUUCCUCAGUACUCUUACAACCAACCUAUUUAUAGCCCAGGAAAGGAAAAAGCUUACUGGAGGCAGGAAAACUAAGUUCGGAAAGAAUAGGAGGAAGUGUGCCUGCCAUUUAGCCAAACAACCUUUAAUUCAUUGAGCUCAAAGCUUAGCAGCUUCACUGUGGCUGCUGGGCAUAAACAGCUGGCAAAUUUCAAUUUUUUUUCUCUUUACUUUUGAACUGGAUUUAGGCAAUGAGGGUGAUAACCAUGUUUUAGAAAAGAAAAUAGGAAUCUUGGGUGCUUAGACACAAUGAAGAGAAACUUGCAAGAAGUUUAUGAGGAUGAAAGAAAAAGAUAGUGGGAUGAACUUCAGAUGAUUGCAUGUCCGCAGUUAAGGAUGGUCCAGCACUUCAAAGUCAGUUCUGAAUCCAUUUUAUUGCACAACAGAGUGAAAUCUAAGUGUGAUUGAGUUGGAGUCAAAUCUACUAUGGUGUGAUACAGCAUUCACCUGUAAGGAGAUCUGGUUGUUUUCUGAGAUAGAGAAAAUGAAGUCUUCCCUCCAGCACACACUCUCUCUGCCCAACAAGAGCAUCAGCACACUUGGAAGUUCUGCCUUCUUAAGGCAGCUGUAUUUCCAUGGAGCAAGAGUGUACUCUGACCACAGGAAUAGCAUACAAGAGCUACAGAAUUUCAUCUGAGUAGACCAAAAACACUACCAGAAGGCUUGAAUGAGCAAGAUGAUGAGACCAGGUGUUUGGACACCAAGCCUGCAGCUGCCCUGACCAGUAAAUAACUCUUCUGUAGCUUCUGGCUUCUCUAUUUAGAGUAAUAAACAACAAAGGAAAAAUACCAAUUCAUAUAGUGCCAGUCAUGUAAAUGACUCGUUCUAAGUGCUAGAAAUUAACCUGCUAUUUAAUUAUAAGAAGUUAUGAAAAGUUAUGAAAAGCCCAUAGUGACAACUGCUGGUGACAUACAUGAGUGUGACACAGAGAAGUAAAUUGUUACUAGUUGUAAUCAUAUAUCCAGAGCAAUUAUAGAGAGGAAGUGGGAGAGAGUGAAACUAUAUAUUCACCAUAGCAUGCAGAAUCUGAAAAUGUUUGCCUUCAGCAUGAAUAGGCACACAUUUUUUUUUAGAUAGUCCAAUGUACAUUUUAUUUUCUCUUAAUCUUUCCAAAAUUUAUAAAAUAAAGUAUUGAGGGGGCAUUGGCACCAGUCCCAAGCUGUUGAGGAAUCAUUAAUAGACAUCUAUUUAGUUGAUAGGAGAAACAUGUAUAAAACUUUAGGAGAAAAAAACCCCCAUAAAACUGGAGAAACUGCAAAACCCAGAGGUAAUGUUGAUAUUUAAGGAUAUUUUAAAUAGAAAUAAAUAAUAAUUUGCUAGCCUAACUAAACUUGACAAAUGCUGUAGAAAUCCUGAUAUACUUUUUUGCUUAGAUAAGAGGUGAAAUUAGUCUUGCAAUCUGAAUCUACCUUUCGAGUGCGCAUUUGCCAGAAGGCUUAUGUAAGAACGAUAGCAGCCUUACUUAUCCAACCCACAAAUAGUAACACUCUGAAGAUCUGCACUGAAGGCUCCUCUUCGCUUUUGCAUCUGUGCUGUGAGUGGACUGCCCAUGUGUCUCAGAUAGGGCCAUGGUAUUGCCACUGUCUGCAAGACUAAGAAGAUACCAUAAUGGCAUAAUGGAGGACGUAGGUUGCAGAUAAGGAAAAUUCUUUCUAAAUUAAAAAAUAGCAUUUGUACUCUAAACAUUAUCAUAAAGCAUAAUUUGAUUUUGGAAGAAAUUGUAAUACUUGAAAACAACAUUGACAACAAUAACACAUUUUGCAAAACCUAGACUCCCUUAAUCUUGGUUCAGGUGCAUUUUGGGUUUCAGAGAUUCUUGAUUUUUCAUACGUAGAUGCAACUUUAGGUAUUUCAGUUAUUUUUCCUGAUCAUUGAUUUUUUUUUAUAGUAGCUUUUUUUCCAUCAAAAAUCUGUAGUAACAAAUUAAUGAAAGUUUUAAACAUUGUUAUUUGUAUUAUUGUAUUAUUUGUAAAUACAAAUAUAAAUAAUGUGUGCUACAAAGGAAGUAUCUUUUUACCUAAAUAAUUCGUGCAUACUUUCAGAUUUUGUAUGAUUAAUACUUAAGGAUGCUGAGGUGAGUGAAUAAAUACAUGUUCUCUUUCCUAGGCUAGACUGUGAAGCAAAUUUUGCAAAGAAGCCACUGGGAAUGAGAUAUAGUGGUGUGAUAAAGAUGGUCAAGGGUCUAAAAUUGUGGGAACUUUCAGACUUGUAAAAUCCCCACAAGUUACCACAGAAGCUGGUGAGGCUCUUGUGCUAAUUUUAGUCCCCAGUUUGGCUUCACUUACUAUUUAACUCAUCAACAUCCUUAUUUUGUCCAGAAGAUCCAUUAGCAAACUUUAAGUGGAACUCUCUUUGUGUAAUAUUCACUCCCAAGAAUGGUUUAAUGGAUUUUAAUAACCCAACAUUCACUUAUUUCCACCAAAAAAUGAUUGCAAUGUCAACCCUUGGAUCCCAGUCGAGACUCAUCGGUGCAUGUGAGAUGUUACUGACAUUUCUAUGUGAAUCUAGUGAAAUCUGAUCUUUAACCUUUUUGGGUCAGAUAUUUGUUUUUGUUUUCCUAUGAGUACUUAUCUUAC